GCAGCCGUGGCCUACUGGUUAGGGCUUUGGGCCUGAAACCAAAGGGUUGCCAGUUCUAUCCCUGACCAGUAGGA
rnacentral:tRNA from 1 species